CAUCAUAAUAGAAUAAGGGAAAUCAUAGCUUGUACAGAAAGAUAUAAGCGUUUACUUAUUUCACAUGCUGUUCCAGGGUGGAAUAAUACAGAAUUAUUGUAGAGAUGGUUCAAUGAACCCUCUGCCAGGCACUUAAGUGUGAGUUACAGAGUAGCCCUGUAGAUAUAGAAUAGAAAUUCUUACACAAAUCAUCCCCAUUUUCCGCUCCAUUCAGAUGUCUGACCCUUUCUGAGCAUGUUUCUGAAACAUGAUUUCAAAUUUUUCAGCUUAGGUUUUAUUACACUGCGCUCCACCGUUUACAAACAUUUCAACCCUCGAUUCAUGUUCCCAACUUUUUACAUUCUUGUUGAUUUGAUGUUAUUGGGUGAAGUUCCACAAACGAGCUCUUUCACGGUACUAUUGUAUAUGUUUCUCAGUGUGGUCAUUUUUCCACUCCUUCAACAUACUUCACACAAUUAAAACGUGCAGUCACUUGAUACUCACAGGAAACGUCAUGCAGAAAUCUGCUCAUGCCCAACUAUGGAGACGGGAUCAUCGCUUCCGAGAACUGCAAGUAACAAUGUGUAGGACAUGUCUCCACUACUACGAGUGCAAUGCACAUGCAGGGCUUGCGAGCUUCCAGAAAAACUCAGAAAUAUCAUUAACCUGUCAUUAAAAUCUGUCCACAUGUGGUGAGCUUUUUUGGGCACUCACUCCAACCUGCCGCACAUGAGCUAUUUACCAAACAAUUAUAACCAGUAUGCUUGCCGCAUCUGUGGCAUUCAAUAAGCCACAUGCCACCCCCUCCCCAUCCCAACCCUCGAUCGUGCCAAAUGGCGGGCAUUUCAGGAAGUUGACUAAGUAUGGAUUUGGCAACCCCAAGUUUUUUGAGGAGGGGACUGGCGAGCAUUGCAUCCUCUAUAAACAUAGGCACUGCACAUGCUUUAGUGACUUACAGUGGGGCAGUGGAAUGUUGCGUGUCACAAGUAACAUGGAUCUUGGCUUAACCACCCAGGUCGUGAGAAUGGUAUAAACGUCUAUAAGAAAAACCCUCUAUCUCAAGGCCUCCUAGACACUGAUGAGGCAUAUCCUAGCAACAUUUAGCUGCACUCUGGGCUAAACUGUUGAAAGGUUUGUGACAUGCCAAGACAUUAAGAAUACAGAUAGCAAAGAACUCCAACAGGAAUGGCUCAUAUCUUGUAUUCUGUGUGUAGGUGCAUGAUAAAGGACCCCCAGGAUACAGUAAUGUUAAUGUUUAUUAAAAAAAAAAAAAGAAUUUGGAACACCAAUCGAUCAUAAGCAUUGGUGAAGGCAUUAAUUGUGAAUGUGCAGAGGGGUGCAGAUAAAGGAAGGGACUUUCAUUCAAUUAUUUGUAUAUGAUUUUGUUUUUCAGACAGCUUCAGUCUCAGUCAGACACUCUGGCAUGUAGAAGCUUUUGUUACGCUGUACUGCUCGGAGUAUGAUGGGCUAUGAGUCUUUUGUAUCAUAUGUAUUUACGGAUAAGAUAGAACUUAAUAACAGUGUUAAGCAUUUUUAUUACAUUGAAAUAAGGCCAAGUCAAGGAAAAUUCCUUAAUAGUUUGCAUCAUCUUGGGAGUCACUGGUGUUUUCUGGAUCAGCUGCCUGCAUCUACAAUUUAAAUGGAGGAAAAGAAAUCCACAGUCAUAUUUUCGUAAAAUUAACAGAAGGAGAAGCUUGCAGAAGACGACAAAUACAAUUAAUAUAUGUAUAGAGAUUGACACAUAAAAAGAAACGACGCAAGGUAAAAUGAAUGCACAAUAGCACAAUUUUGUACAUGUAGAACAUUUCAUAAUAAUGCAAUUGAACUAAUAUUUUCUCUUCAUUGAAAGUUAAAGGACAAUUACCAAUCAAUUUCUUUCAUUCCUUUUCCUUCUUUUAAAGUUUUUAAAUUAUAUAUAUUUUUUAUUAUAUUGCACCUGGCGACCUAGGUGCCACGAUUUUAGGAACCCAGUUGUAAGUAGGGUUUGUUAACUAUUGUUAUCAUAAGAAAUUUCUAUGACAUUGUUAUUACUCAUAAAAACUAAUUUCUGUAUUUUCUAUUUGCAUGAAUCACGACGGGGAGCAAGUAUUAAAAAAAGGCAAAAACUGAGAAGAAAAUUUUUGAAAGGAAUAAGAAUUGGACGCAAGUCACGAAAAAUUUUCCAUAGUAAGCUGUUUUAUUCGGCGCAGCAAAGGUUUUCACACUCAGUACAUCGAACCACUAUAGAACAGAUUUUUAUCUGCAGCCAUUACAAGAUAAUAGUGGGACCAUAUUCUGGGAAAUGACAAAGCUCCAAGCAACUGAAAUGAAGGAGCAGCUGUCCAAACCUGUAUGACGUGAAAAAAUUGUCACAUUCUGACCUCGCAAAUCAGAGGACAUGGAGGCAUUGUGAAAGGUAGCCUACAAGCUGUAUUGGAGAAGGAACCAAGAAGAACACCUACAACUAUGACUCCCCCUUUCCCUUUUGGAAAAGAGUAUCGUGAAGAAAGCUAUGCAUAGUGACUUCCCACCCCCUACCUUAAAUGUUUUAGCGAAAGUGGUUCAUAAGGACGCACAAAAAUUGCCUAUGAUUGUGAUUAAAUGAGUGAGUACCAAAAAGCGAAGUGUUUCUGUAUGUUUCUCUUUCAGGUAAAGACCGAAAAUACUAAAUCACCAAAUCAAUGUUGUA